UACGUAGGUGGCAAGCGUUGUCCGGAUUUACUGGGUUUAAAGGGCGCGCAGGCGGAUUAGUAAGUCAGUGGUGAAAGCCUUGAGCUUAACUCGAGAACUGCCAUUGAUACUAUUGAUCUUGAAUUCUGUUGAGGUGGGCGGAAUAUGUCAUGUAGCGGUGAAAUGCAUAGAUAUGACAUAGAACACCAAUUGCGAAGGCAGCUCACUAAGCAGAUAUUGACGCUGAGGCACGAAAGCGUGGGGAUCAAACAGG
rnacentral:rRNA from 1 species